UACGUAGGGUGCAGGCGUUAAUCGGAAUUACUGGGCGUAAAGCGUGCGCAGGCGGUUUCUUAAGUCAGAUGUGAAAUCCCCGGGCUCAACCUGGGAAUUGCAUUUGUGACUGCACGGCUAGAGUGUGUCAGAGGGGGGUAGAAUUCCACGUGUAGCAGUGAAAUGCGUAGAGAUGUGGAGGAAUACCGAUGGCGAAGGCAGCCCCCUGGGAUAACACUGACGCUCAUGCACGAAAGCGUGGGGAGCAAACAGG
rnacentral:rRNA from 1 species